rnacentral:lncRNA from 1 species
GAAAAGAGAAGAAUAAAGAAUUAGUUUUGAGGCUAUUUUCCAACGAUCCAUUGUCAGAUUUCAACCAUAGAAGGAGGAUCAAAUGAAGAAAAGCAUAAGGAAAGAGAUUUGAAUCUUAUCUAGGCUCCAGCGAGCAGUACAAUCGUGGAUUUGAUGGUCGAAAUAGGGCAUAGCUGACCUAACAAAGAAGUGGAGAUAAGGAGAGAGAGAUCG